rnacentral:misc_RNA from 1 species
CAUGAAAUCUCAUCUCUUCGGGGUUUCCGAUGAUGAUGGAUGUGGGUGCUGCCAUCUGGCUUGCCUUAAAAGUGUUAGUGGUUCUGAAAUCGAAUCUGGCGUCAUAAGUUUCGCUGGUCUAGAUCAAAGGCUGCUCAUAACCUGUCUUCUGACAUUUUUGCUCUGUCCUCAAAUCAGGUAGGACUACCCGCUGAACUUAA